GGAAAAGUCUAUUCUCGCCUGGCCUUUAGUAAAGGAAACCGUCGUUACCAUGACAUAGGCAUUUCUUCCAUAAGUGCUCUGAGCAUCUCUCCUGGAUGCGGAUGCUGAGUAAACUGUUUCACGUGUGGGCUGGUAGUAACUGCAAGAGAAGAUGCAGAAUGAGAACAUGAGACAAGCUCCACCACAGAUGGCAAGAACACCAGAGGCCCAGCCG